AAUAAUAUUAUCAUAAUAAAUAAUAUACUGUGCCUUUGUAGUUUUAACGAACUUCAGCUAGUUAACUGGAGUUCUAGACUCUAGUUAGGUAUUUAAACAUGUUUAAUUUACCAACUUACUUAUUUUGUUAUUUUCAAUAAAAUUCCAAGACCAAUUUAUUUAACUUGAUGUACCUACCAGAAAUGCAUUCGUUUAUGGCCCCAAAAAUAGAAGUCAAGAACACUUAAAUCAGGGGAACGAGGUGGCCAUUGAAUAAUGGGGCUGUGAGUUCCAAACCAGUUAUUGUCUCCAUACAUCUCAUUGAGGUAUGCACGUAUAGCCAAGGUAUUAUGUGCUGGUGCACCAUCUUGCUGCCAAAUCAAAUUCAAACGCUGUUGAAGUGAAAUAUUUUCCAAUAGUAUGGGUACAUCAUUUUUCAAAAAACCAAGAUACUUAUUGCCAUUAAGAUUUUCCUCGAAAAAAUAUGGACCGAUUAAAUGUUCAUCAAUAAUCCCACACCAGACAUUCACACCCCAACGAACUUGCUUAUUGGUCUCAUUUAUCCAGUGGGGAUUUGAAUGAUUCCAAUAGUGAUUGUUAUGGUGAUUUACUUGUCCAUUAUUGUGAAAUUUCGCCUCAUCAGUCCAAAGGAUAUUUGUUAAAAAUUGAGGAUCCUCUUCUAAUUUUACCAUGCAAUGUGCAAUAAAAUUGAGCCGCCUUUCAUAAUCACUUGCUAAGAGCUGCUGAACAGGAUUAGCCAGGAAAACCAAAUACCUGCUACAGUUCUCAAAGAAAUAUGAGGAUUUUCAAUAAAUUUGGCCAACACCGAAAAUGAAUUAUCGACAUUGAUGACUGUCGAAACUCUACUUUUUGGUUUUAUAAAACUUCCGUAUUUUUGCAGAUUUUUGUACAGAAUCUUGUAUGUUCUGGACAAGGACGAUCAGGAUAUCGGGUUUUAUAUAAUCUAUAAUUAAUAUAACACUAGAUGUAUAAUAUAUGUAUUAAAUCCAACGGUUGUAACCUCGGAAAAAAGCCAACAACAAAAAUCGCCGGUUGCAAUUGAAAAACAUUGUAAUGCACCCACACCAGAUCUUCAUUCUUCAGCAGAUUUUUUCUGUUCAUCUAAUCGUCUUUCUUCAGCAGCUCCAUUUAAUAAGGAAUGCACAAAUCUAAAGGAAAAACAGUGCACAGAAUGGUGGUGUCCGGUGCACUCGGACUUUGGAGUUCUAGUCAAAAAAGUGAAGCCAAUAUCAGCUAAUGAUCAAAUAUUGAUUAAACGAGCCAAGUCGCGUUUUGCUUAUUGGACG